UACGGAGGAUCCGAGCGUUAUCCGGAUUUAUUGGGUUUAAAGGGUGCGUAGGCGGCCUUUUAAGUCAGCGGUGAAAGUCUGUGGCUCAACCAUAGAAUUGCCGUUGAAACUGGGGGGCUUGAGUAUGUUUGAGGCAGGCGGAAUGCGUGGUGUAGCGGUGAAAUGCAUAGAUAUCACGAAGAACUCCGAUUGCGAAGGCAGCUUACCAGUCUGCGACUGACGCUCAGGCACGAAAGUGUGGGUAUCGAACAGG
rnacentral:rRNA from 1 species